GAAGCAGGCCAAGACAACCGCUGGCUGUCAUUUCGGUGAUGGCGGGAGGAAGGUCCGGACUCCAUAGAGCAGGGUGACGGUUAAUGGCCGUCCGCCGUGAGGCGAGGAAUAGGGCCACAGAGACGAGCGUAUUAAGUUACGGUGAAACGCGGUAACCUCCACCUGGAGCAAUUUCAAAUAGGCACGCGUUGACGUUGCUCGCGGAGCGUGCGGGUAGAAAGCUUGAGCCGUGGAGUAAUUCACGGCCUAGAGGAAUGGUUGUCAUAGCGCAUGGGCUUGCUCAUGCGCCGUAACAGAAUCCGGCCUAUCGGCUUGCUUCAACU
rnacentral:RNase_P_RNA from 1 species